AUGGAUACGCCGCCGCCACGGAUGGUCCUCGCGCCUGGAUCGUUCACCCAACUACUUCUAAGCUUCUCCUCCAUCCCUUCCCAAGAUCCAAAUCUCUGUUGGACCCGGCAAGAAGAACAAGAGUAUGUGGGAGAGACGGAUUGGAUGGAGGGCGGAAACCAUUGCGGGGGCGGCAUCGACACCGAGGAUCAAUUUCAGUCCUCUCCCACCAUACCAGAUCCAACUUCCCCCAUCUAUGAGGCCGACGGUGAGGUGAAUUGUGAGAACGACGAUGCCAAGCUCCGCUCGCCAACGCCAGAGCUCGAUGGAUACACUUGGUCAGGAGAUGAAUGCUUGGAGUCGCCGCUGUCAGAGCAAACCAACAAGCCAAACCUGGUUCAGUCAGACCAAUCUCGUCCUGACCAAUGUCCAUGGGAGAGAAGGAUACGUCGUGGGAAAAUACCAGAUCAGCGGCAGCCUAAACAGGGAAGGGUCUAUGUGCUCGAAAAAGCAAUGCGUGAAUUUGUUCAAAGGAAGUCUGGACAAGUUGUCGCCCCUGAGAUUGGAAGAGAGUUCGACUCACUUGCGGAGGCAUUUGAAUUUUAUAAUCUUUAUUCUUGGGAGAUUGGGUUUGGCAUCAAAUAUGGUCAAUCUAGGACAAAUGCAAAGAAGAGCAGAACCAUUCAGGACAUCGUUUGCGGCUGUGCGGGAAGGCCAAAGAAAGAAAACACAAAGUCAGUAGCCUGCAACUGCCAAGCCUUGAUCAGGCUACACCGCACAGCCGACAAUGGAUGGUAUAUACAUGAUUUUAGAUCUGAACACAACCACCAUUUGUCCUCAUCGUGUGGCGAGAAACUACAUUGGCCAUCACACAGGAACAUUGACACACACACAAAAGAUAUUGUCAAGCACUUGAGGAGCAACAACAUUGGGAUAACCAAGGUUUUUUGUGUCAUCGCAAGCUUCUUUGGAUCAAUGGAGAGUGUACCAUUCAACAAGAGAGCUCUCAAGUACAUGUGCAAGAGGAUGAACCAAGAAACUGCAGAUGAUGACAUAAGGAAAACAGUUCAACUCUUCUCUGAACUUAAGAAGAAUGACCCAAUGUUUGUUGACAGUGUUCUUGUCGACGGCGACAGCAAGAUUCAGCCUCUUAUGUGGACAAAUGGAAGGAGUAUAUACCAAUACAAAAUGUUUGGCAAUGCAAUCACAUUCGACACAACAUAUCGUACAAACCAGUACGAUAUGCCAUUCGGACUAUUUGUUGGUGUCAACCAUCAUUUCCAGAGCAUAAUAUUAGGAGGCGUUAUGAUGAGGAACGAGAAGCAAGAAUCAUUUGAGUGGGUAUUCAAGGAAUUUGUGUCAUUAAUGGGAGGUAAAGCACUGGUAACUAUCCUAACAGACCAAUGCCGUGCCAUGGAGUUGGCUAUUGCUGAAGUAUUGCCUGGAACGAAGCACCAGUGGUGCAAAUGGCAUGUGCUGCGUCGUGCAAAGGAAUCCCUUGGCUCUGUAUACACACAGAACAAAGAUUUCAGGGAUGAACUACACAAGAUAUUGGAAUAUAUGCUCACUAUAGAAGAGUUCGAAGCAGCUUGGGCAAAGUUGAUUCAAAAGUAUGGUCUUCAGGAACACCCAAUGUUGACACAGAUAUACGAGCUCUGA
rnacentral:rRNA from 1 species